GUACAUUUGCAAAGAGAAUAAUGAAUCAAAAAGCCAGAAUCCAAAAUCCAGAGAAUAGUCAAGAAGGCAGGCAAGGGUAAAAAACAAAAACAAAAACAAAAAAAACACAGAUAUCUAAGACUAAUCAAUACUAAUCAAAACUAAAACUGAUCAAUAUGGGUUAGGCAAGAGGGAAGAGGUGAGAAACACGAUUUUUCUUGAAAUAAUCACGGCUCAGAAUUUACUAGAGAAACAAGCAAAUGUCAGGGCUGGAUGUUACAAUCGUAAUUCGUCUUGCUAUUUGAUUUUGGGGCGGCUGUGGCUCAGGUGGUAGAGCGGGUUGUACACUAAUUGUAGGGUUGGCAGUUCGAUUCUCAGCCCACGUGACUCCAUUUGCUGAAGUGUCCUUGGGCAAGACACUGAACCCCAAGUUGCUCCCGAUGGCAAGUUAGCGCCUUGCCUGGCAGUUCUACUACCAUUGGUGUGUGAAUCGGUGAAUGAGACACAGUGUAAAGCGCUUUGGAUAAAAGUGUGCCAUUUGCCAUUUUGCUAUUUAAAAAUAAAAUCAUAUAGUGACUCAUAAAUAAAUAUUAAUAGUACAUAAGUUGUGAUCCUUAAUCUAGCCAGUAUUUGCUGCUACACAUCAAGAUUGUCCAUUAAUUUUAGCCCUAAAAUGAAGCUGUAAUGAUGACAAACAAUCAAAGGAGAAAUAUGAGAGCUGCUUUGAGCAAAACAAAAAACUAAUGAACACAACAUACACAGACCAUAUCUGUUGCUAAAAAUUCCAAUUCACAAUCCAAAAUAUCCAAAAUGGCAGCAGUUAGUUUGUAUUGGGUAUGGUAUUGAAAAAUGACUAAAAAAAAAAAGGGGGGGCCUUUUUUCUAGAAUUUUCUGCAUCACCAAGCAGAAUUCAGAUUCAGGACUUUAGAGCCAUUAAAAUGCUGUGUGUUUGUUGCUUUGUUGCAGUGACCUCAAAAAAAGGACAAGAACCUUGUGUUUAAUUAACCAAAGCUUCUCUUUUGAUGAUUGUUUAAGAGUCUCAAAUGCCAAAGCACCUCUUAUCUGAGCCGUAAUUAUCCAUCUGUAUUGUAUGCUAUUGACAAGAGUAUAAAACAGUGCUUCACCCCAAAUUACGGCCUAAAAAAGAAGAAGAAGAAGAAGAAGAAGAAGAAGAAGAAGAGGAAGAAAAAGAAGAAGUAGUAGAAGAAUUGAAGGUCAGUUGUCUGUAUCUAUGUAUUUUGACCCCUGACACUGUGACACUAUAAUUAUUUGUCCUGUAGCUACACUCUUUCCAUUAUUGACACUAUUUACUCAUUAUUUAGACUCAUUAAGACUCAUUAAUCUGUGUACAAAUCCCUUUUUGCUUAGUAUAUGACUCAUCAUUAUUGUUCUCGAGUUCUGAUAUCUCUGUAUGUUUGGAUGAUGAUGGAUUUUCCUUUGUUCAACAUGACUACCAGCUUUGGUUUACAACAAAGCGUUUUUGAAAUGGUCAUAAUAUAAAUAAAUUUUUGAAUCACUGUGUGUCAGAAAGGGUCGUUUGUUCUCCCUAACAUAUUCAACUUCAGCAGAAAGCAAAUGCUGGUGAUGGUGAUAUAUUUAAGUGUGUGCAAACUCCAUGAAAAUGUGGUUUUCUACAGUAUAUUUUGAAGCUCAGCUCUACCAUUGUCGUUCCUCAUGUAAAAUUUAAACUGCACAUUAAGGCCUUGUUAAAAUUCACUUUCUCCCACAUGCUCUCUUUUGCUUCUCUCCCAUUUUCACUUGAAGUAUUGCACACUUUUGUGUAAUGUUAUCCAUAACCGUAAUAAAUGCUUCUAUGCACACUUCUCACACGUCUACUCUUGCUUCAGUCUUUAGAUUAUAAAACAAGGAAAAAAGAAAACUCGCCUCCUCCACACUCAAGAAAUGUUACCUUUAAUGACAGCUGGAAUGAAAUUUGAUUGACAGAUUUGAACAAAGAGUAAUUUGGACUGGUCUCGGCUCACACAAAGAGCGCUUAAUGAGGUGUGUGUAUGUGUGUGUGUGUGUGUGUGUGUGUGUGUGUGUGUGAGAGAGAGAGAGAGAGAGAGAGAGAGAGAGAGAGAGAGAGAGAGAUGGGCAGAGAAAUGUUUCGUUUUUUUAUUUUUCCGUAUAUCACUUAAGUUGUAGGCCUCAAUCAUGGUAGUUUGACGGUACCUCAAAUAGCAAAGGCUACAGCAGGGGGAAGAGCUUUCUCUUAUAGAACCCCACAGUUAUGGAACAGCCUUCCAAUUAGUGUUCGGGACUCAGACACAGUCUCAGUGUUUAAGUCUAGGCUUAAAACGUAUUUGUUUACACAAGCCAACCCUGACUAGACUUUCCGUUAUGCUAAGCACAGUCCUAAUAAUCUUUUCUCUCCCUCUCUCCUGCCGAGCCUCACACAAUUUUAUGGAGAUACUAGAGAUCCUGAUCCUCUCUGCUCUCCGGACCUGCCUGAUCCGUUUCGGAUGUCCUACCUCUGGAUGGCGCUCUCAUCUACUCCAGUUCCAGAUUGCUGAGAUUAUGGCUGCUUCUAACGCCAUACAGACUUCAUAUAAAUCCAUAAGGAACUUUUUCACACUAUCUGUUGUUACCCAGAUGAGGAUGGGUUUCCUUCUGAGUCUGGUUCCUCUCAAGGUUUCUUCCUUUUAACAUCUUAGGGAGUUUUUCCUCGCCACUCUCGCCACCGGCUCACUCAGUUGGGAUAAAUUCACACUUUUAAUAUCUGUGUACCGUGUUGAUAUUUCUGUAAAGCUGCUUUGAGACAAUGUCUAUUGUAAAAAGCGCUAUACAAAUAAAAGUGAAU
ensembl:lncRNA